rnacentral:lncRNA from 1 species
UGGGGAGCUUGAUUACGGUUCUGGAUUAGCGGAUUAGGGUUUUAGUGAUGGAGAUUGUGGUCUAAUUUUUUUAGGGUUAGUACGGAAAGAGGGGAAACUGAGAAAAAGAGAAAGGUCUUUCGCGAGUGGAGAGAGGGAAAAUAAUCAGAUUAGUCUUUUUUUUGCUAAGUGUACCGCGGUAAAGCUAAUUUUAGGUUCCCGCUUAGUGAAACUCUGAGUUGUGCCUCACCGGGAGUUCCUAAUCAUAUCAGAAACAGUACAUAAAGUCAAAUUUAGACAUAACAUAUUCAAAAUGGAAAACUAUCUAAGGUAGCAUGAAAUAGAUAUCUUACCGCCCAAUAAGGUAGCUUGAAAAAGAUAGAUCUUUUCUUCCAUCUAGAUAACUAACCCUCAUCUAUUUCCACUUCUUCCUCUUCCUCCUCAUCUUCCUCUUCCUCUUCAUCUAAAUCGGUACAGCCCAUAUUUUUUCUCUUACUCCCAGAAUGUUUAACAAUGCCAAAGUCAUUCUUGAAAUUUCUAAGGUUUGUGAAAUUUCAAGGCCGGUUAAAAUUCUUCCCCUUCUCCUUUGCUCAGCUUUUCCAUCAAACCACUUCUUCUUUCCUCGGAAACUAUGAGCUGGUGGCAGACCUUUUCUGUGGCACAUAUACACAUGUUUUCUGCUGUACUUAAGCCACAUACUGUCUGUGUUUUUCCCACAUAAAGGACACCCCAUUUUUCCCUUAACUUUGCAGCCUGCAAGAUUCCCAUAAGCCGGGAAAUCACUGAUCGUCCAAAGCAGCAUUGCCUUCAGUGUGAAAGUUGAUCGAGUAUAAGUGUCGUACACUAACUCUCCACUGCUCCACAGAUGGUUUAGAUCUUCAAUGAGAGGCUCUAAGUAGAUAUCUAUACUGUUACCGGGCUGUUGUGGACCAGGAAUCAACAGUGAAAGCAUUAUGCUCUCCUUCUUCAUACAUAAAUCAGGUGGCAAGUUGUAGUUGACUAACAAUACCGGCCAGCAACUGUACAUAGAAUUAUUCAUGUUGAAUGGAUUAAAUCCGUCUGUUGAAAGUCCAAGCCUCAUGUUCCUUUCUUCAGCGGCAAAGUCAGGGUAUUUCGCAUUCAUCUGAUCCCAUGUGACUGAAUCAACAGGGUGUCGAAGUUUCCCAUCAGUGCUUUUGUUGUUGAAGUGCCACCUUAGAUCCUUAGCCAUUUCCUCAGACCGGAACAUUCUCUUCAACCUUGGGAUUAUUGGAAAGUAGAGUAAUACUUUCUGUGGGACUCCUUUCUUCUUCUCACCCGUAUGGAUAUUAGUCUUCCAUCUCGAUGCCUUGCAUUUUGGACAGUACUCAAGCUUCUUCAACUUCUUUCUGAAUAGGCAGCAGUCAUUCACACAAGCAUGGAUCUUCUCGUAACCCAUAUCAAAUGAUUUCAAAAAUUUCUUAACCUCGUACAGUGAAGUGUGCAGCACAUUCUCCUCUGGUAACAUUUCCGGCAACGUCUCUAGCAGUUCAUUGAAGCUCUUGUCAGACCAUCCAUUCUGAGUCUUCAAUCUAAAUAAUGACACUAUUGCAGAUAACUUGCUGUGGUUCGCACAUGUAGGAUACAAAGGUGUUUCACAUAACAUAUAUGAUAAAAUUCAUUACCUGCUCAGAUGAACCCAGUCUUUGUCCACCAUUCUAUGUUCUAAAACCUAAAUUGAAACCUUUAGUAACAUAGAGAACCAUUCAAAGUAACAAAUAAUAUAAUCAAUCAAAACUAAAUUGAACAAUUUAUCGCUUGACUGUAAAUCGAAAUCGAUAAAAUCAUGAAUCAAGUUUAAUGUUGUUAAGAAUAUAAUAAAGGGAAUCUAAGCAAACAACGUGGAGCAGGAACGCAAAUCAAACAGGAAAGAAAACAAAGACAAAAUCAAAGCAACAAAACAUCUCUUCCAUUUGAGAUAACAAGCGACAGAGAUGUCGCAAUCACAAUCUCCGAUACCUGUGCAGUCGACAAUAAUGGAUGUGGGGAGCUUGAUUACGGUUCUGGAUUAGCGGAUUAGGGUUUUAGUGAUGGAGAUUGUGGUCUAAUUUUUUUAGGGUUAGUACGGAAAGAGGGGAAACUGAGAAAAAGAGAAAGGUCUUUCGCGAGUGGAGAGAGGGAAAAUAAUCAGAUUAGUCUUUUUUUUGCUAAGUGUGCCGCGGUAAAGCUAAUUUUAGGUUCCCGCUUAGUGAAACUCUACCAUAGCGUUUAAUUAACCCUAUUAUAUAAUAAGCAAAUUUUAGCCUCAUCUAUGAUAGCAGUUCAGUAAAACGUGCUAUAAUCAUGUGCUAUCAAUGAGG